AAAAAAUCUUAAUUACAGUUUCUUCCCAAAGUUCAUCCAGCAUCACACAGAUAGAGCUUUGAAUUUAUUUUGAUGUUCUAGAACUUGGAGAACAACUGAGUUUAAUUCGGUUGUACCAAACAAAAUUGUAACAAUUAAUUAAAAAAAUCUGCACCUGAACCUAAUGGGUGCUUGUUUGGAACUUCGCUGAUCUAGCUAGGAUAACAGAAUAAAUAAAGAUACAUAUAUGGAAUUUGCGUUUUAACAAGCCUGGAAAUGAUGA
rnacentral:misc_RNA from 1 species